GGGUAUUAGAUACUGCACCGAUUGAUUUUAGGCCAAGUGGGGAUUGUUGGGAAUAGUGUCCCAAAGCCAAUUGUCAGUCUGUUGAUGGUUGUGCUUCUUUUUGUAUUAGUAUAUGAAUUAUAAAUAAAUAAAAGUUAUUUUGGCAUUUUUCAUCACAAAUUAUUUCAUCUUUUAAUGAACUCCUGUGUUGUGGUGAAGUCCUUAGGACUAUUUAGACUCGAUAAAGGAGCAUCUAUGG
rnacentral:lncRNA from 1 species